AACGAACGCUGGCGGCGUGGAUAAGACAUGCAAGUCGAACGCUAACACAGUGGUAGCAAUAUCGUUGUGUUGGAGUGGCGAAAGGGUGAUUAACACGUGGGCAAGUUACCGCGAUAACUGGGAUAACCUGCUGAAAGGCAAGCUAAUACCAGAUAAUACUUCGGGUUGGCAUCAAUCUGAUUUUAAAGUUGGGGACCGUAAGGCCUGACAUAUUGCGAUACGCCCGCGUCCUAUCAGCUAGUUGGCGAGGUAAUGGCUCACCAAGGCUAAGACGGGUAGCUGGUCUGAGAGGACGACCAGCCACACUGGAACUGAGACACGGUCCAGACACCUACGGGUGGCAGCAGUCGAGAAUUUUUCACAAUGGGCGAAAGCCUGAUGGAGCGACGCCGCGUGGGGGAUGAAUGGCUUCGGCCCGUAAACCCCUGUCAUUUGCGACUAAACGCUGAAUUUUAACAGAAUUCAGCCUGAAAGUAGCGAAAGAGGAAGGGACGGCUAACU
rnacentral:rRNA from 1 species